rnacentral:rRNA from 1 species
GUAGGUGGCAAGCGUUGUCCGGAAUUAUUGGGCGUAAAGCGCGCGCAGGUGGUUCAUUAAGUCUGAUGUGAAAGACCCCCGGGCUCAACCGGGGAGGGUCAUUGGAAACUGGGGAACUUGAGUGCAGGAGAGGAAAGUGGAAUUCCACGUGUAGCGGUGAAAUGCGUAGAUAUGUGGAGGAACACCAGUGGCGAAGGCGACUUUCUGGCCUGUAACUGACACUGAGGCGCGAAAGCGUGGGGAGCAAACAGGAUUAGAUACCCUGGUAGUCCACGCCGUAAACGAUGAGUGCUAAGUGUUGGGGGGUUUCCGCCCCUCAGUGCUGCAGCUAACGCAUUAAGCACUCCGCCUGGGGAGUACGGUCGCAAGACUG